rnacentral:rRNA from 1 species
CAGCAGCCGCGGGAAUACGAAGGGUGCAAGCGUUACUCGGAAUUACUGGGCGUAAAGCGUGCGUAGGUGGUGGUUUAAGUCCGUUGUGAAAGCCCUGGGCUCAACCUGGGAAUUGCAGUGGAUACUGGGUCACUAGAGUGUGGUAGAGGAUAGUGGAAUUUCCGGUGUAGCAGUGAAAUGCGUAGAGAUCGGAAGGAACAUCUGUGGCGAAGGCGACUAUCUGGGCCAACACUGACACUGAGGCACGAAAGCGUGGGGAGCAAACAGGAUUAGAUACCCGUGUAGUCCCUGUCUCUAUACA